rnacentral:tRNA from 1 species
GACCAGGUCUUGGGCUGAAGAACGUUCGGUUCGCAACCGAAAGGCCGCGGGUUCAAAUCCCGCCCGGUCCACCA